UACGGGGGGGGCAAGCGUUGUUCGGAAUUACUGGGCGUAAAGGGCUCGUAGGCGGCCAACUAAGUCAGACGUGAAAUCCCCAGGCUCAACCUGGGAACUGCGUCUGAUACUGGAUGGCUUGAAUCCGGGAGAGGGAUGCAGAAUUCCAGGUGUAGCGGUGUAAUGCGUAGAUAUCUGGAGGAAUACCGGUGGCGAAGGCGGCAUCCUGGACCGGCAUUGACGCUGAGGAGCGAAAGCCAGGGGAGCAAACGGG
rnacentral:rRNA from 1 species